GAUGAACGCUAGCGGGAGGCUUAACACAUGCAAGUCGAGGGGCAGCAUGGGGUAGCAAUACCCUGAUGGCGACCGGCAAACGGGUGAGUAACGCGUAUGUAACCUACCCUGUACGAGGGGGAUAACCCGGAGAAAUUCGGACUAAUAUCCCAUAACAAUAUCUGGAGGCAUCUUUGGAUAUUUAAAGUUCCGGCGGUACGGGAUGGGCAUGCGUAACAUUAGCUAGUUGGUAAGGUAACGGCUUACCAAGGCUUUGAUGUUUAGGGGUCCUGAGAGGGUGGUCCCCCACACUGGUACUGAGACACGGACCAGACUCCUACGGGAGGCAGCAGUGAGGAAUAUUGGUCAAUGGGCGCAAGCCUGAACCAGCCAUCCCGCGUGCAGGAAGACGGCCCUAUGGGUUGUAAACUGCUUUUCCAGGGAGAAGAAACUUGCGCACGUGUUGCGCAAUUGACGGUACCCUGGGAAUAAGCAUCGGCUAACCUCCGUG
rnacentral:rRNA from 1 species